rnacentral:rRNA from 1 species
AACGAACGCUGGCGGCAUGCCUAACACAUGCAAGUCGAACGAGACCUUCGGGUCUAGUGGCGCACGGGUGCGUAACGCGUGGGAACCUGCCUUUAGGUUCGGAAUAACUCAGAGAAAUUUGAGCUAAUACCGGAUGAUGUCUUCGGACCAAAGAUUUAUCGCCUUUGGAUGGGCCCGCGUUGGAUUAGCUCGUUGGUGGGGUAAAGGCCUACCACGGCGACGAUCCAUAGCUGGUCUGAGAGGAUGAUCAGCCACACUGGGACUGAGACACGGCCCAGACUCCUACGGGAGGGAGGAGUGGGGAAUAGUGGACAAUGGGCGGAAGGAUGAACCAGCAAUGACGCGUGAGUGAUGAAGGCCGUAGGGUUGUAAAGCGCUUUUAACCGAGAUGAUAAUGACAGUAUCGGGAGAAUAAGCUCCGGCUAACUCCGUG